CACCCAUUUAUCCAAAAUUCAUAAAAUGAGUUCCAGUCGUGGUGCCAGUAGAAAAUCUCCUGCUGGUUCUACUAGACUCAAGCCAAAUGCCAACUUCUUCCGGCAAUUCUCCUAGUCAAAGUGAUGGGGUAGGUAAGGAGGGGACUGUACCAGAAACAAGCUCGUAAAACCGGUUCACUGAACCUGUCAAACACUGAGACCCACCCCUGACGCACAUGGCUAGCCCAUGAUGGCUGACAGUGGAGGUCUAGAUCGAGUACUAGAUGGAGAUGAUAAAGAAGUCUUUCGAGGAUUUCUAAUGAAGAAUCAUUUAGGAGAGAUGAUAUCAAUUCUAGAGGCAUCAGAUCCAACAUUGUUCUACUCAAUCUGCAGUAAGUUGGCUAACUGUAUGAUUGGAUUGUGGGAGAAGUUGUACAGAAAUCCUCUAGACACUUUGCCAAGUAGGGGCGUGGUUGACAAAAAUAAUUAAUUAAAUUUAACUACUUGCUAGUAUUAAGGAAGGCACUAAUAUUGUAUCUUAUGAGAUUAGAUAUUGAAGGAUAAUGUUGAAGUGAGAGUUCAUAAUCUUCCAUCAUUUGAGGAAUAUACCAGAGAUAGAGCGCCAUUAGCAUCUGACGUAGGGAAAUUUCUAUCUUU